UGAAAGGGUAACCAUUUCUGAUCGUAACCUUGGCUUGUGCUUCGAGUAAUUAUCCUUUAAUUGCAUUACCCUAUUUGAAAUAGAGUUGUAAUUGGAAAAAAACAAUUUGACAUUCCCUGAUGCUUACUCUGACAUGCACUAUUUGCUUUUUAUUCAAAUGUAAAUUUUCUCCAUAAUACUAUCAAAGAAAGAAAAAAAAUUAAGCAAAAUUGAAAUGUCAGUAGCAAUUUCUGACAUGCAGGCAGUGUCAUUCACUGGUGCUGCUGUCUGGAAGGCAAGACUUUCAGUUCAGAUGGAAAAAAAACACCAAACUAUGAAAUUAGCAUGCUCAGAGGAGACGGAGAGAUGGAUGGCAGAGCCACAGACUGAGCCCUCUGGGACACGUGUCCACUUUGCACAAUGGCUUCAAAAUAUCAAACAAGCCGCCAGCUAUAAUUUUUGGAUGAAUAAUCCUUUUUGCUUUACAAUAAAAAAUAUUUUUUCCUUAAAACCCGAAGGGUGAUAAACUUAACUCCAGAGUUUUUUCACCUCAGGCUUCCUGAGGAGGUAAUUUUAAUUGGGGGCCUGUGAUAGGUGACAGGCAGCCGCUAAGACGGCUCUGAUGAUUCCGGUCUCCUGAUGGCCGCAACCUUUUGUAAUCUCUUCCCUUUGAGUGAGGGCUGGACCUCUUGACUUGGCUUCUAAUGAACAGAACACGGCAGAAGUAAUGGGAUGUCACUCCCGAGAUUAGGUCGCACAAAGUCCUGUGGCUUCUGCCUGGAGCUUGCCUGUGUUGCCCUCUCGCGUGCUCACUUGGAAGGAAGCCAGCCGCCAUGUUGGAGAUGCCGUGUGGUAACGGAGGCAGGCCUCUGGCCACAGCCAGCAAGAAGCUGAGGCCCUCAUCCAACAGCCCACGAAGAACCAAAACCUGUCCACAGUCUGGAAGCAAAUCACCCCUCAGCUGAGCUUUCAGGUGAGCCUGCAGCCCCAGCUGAAACCUGAUGGCAGCCUCAGGAGGGAGCUUCAGUCGGAGGCGCCCAGCUGAGUGGCAUUUGGGUUCCUGACCCACAGAAGUUGUGAGGGAAAACUUCUUCAACUGCCUGUCUUCAAGAGACUUUCAAAGCCCUCCCUCAAGUGAUUGUUAAGUGAUACUAGAAAUACAUUUGCCUGCAUCUGGAGAUGGUGGGUGGUAUGUAAACCAGAUUCCCAAAUUCCCAAACCAGAGGAGCCCUGGGUCAUUAGGAGCAUCUGAACACCGACCGUGGAGGAACCACCGCAUGUCCAGUCGUUUCCAAGGACCUGCCGUCUCUAGUGUCAUGGGGGGAAGUGCCCCACCAGCAGGCUCUUGUCUCCUCUCUGAGACAGAAGCAGUCAGUGGGAGAGAGGUCAACAGAGGCAGCGGGUGAGAACUCAGUCUCCGGAGUUACGCCAGCCUGAGUGUGAGCCCAGCUCCCCUCGACCAGCUCUGUAGCUCAUGCUUACUGCUUAACCUUAUUCA
rnacentral:lncRNA from 1 species